UACGGAGGGGGCUAGCGUUGUUCGGAAUUACUGGGCGUAAAGCGUACGUAGGCGGCUUUGUAAGUUAGAGGUGAAAGCCCGGGGCUCAACUCCGGAAUUGCCUUUAAGACUGCAUCGCUCGAAUCAUGGAGAGGUGAGUGGAAUUCCGAGUGUAGAGGUGAAAUUCGUAGAUAUUCGGAAGAACACCAGUGGCGAAGGCGACUCACUGGACAUGUAUUGACGCUGAGGUACGAAAGCGUGGGGAGCAAACAGG
rnacentral:rRNA from 1 species